AUGGGCAAACGCGAUGCGGCGGAAGGGGUAGAUACAGACUUGGUUGCCCCUUUCUGGCUCGGAAGCCAAGAGCCACCGGAGACCGAGCUCUCGCCGCCGCCGGCACCUGCUGCUCUCGUCCCUAGAGAAGUUGCCAUCACAGAGAAGCCGUCUAAGAAAAUUUGCCACAGCUUUGGAUCAAAUGACUCAGACUCAUCUGGACGACAAGUUUGGGCAGAUGUUACGGACAGCCUGCUUCACCUAAUCGUUGUCCUCCUUAGCUCAUUCCAUGACUUCCUUGCUGUUACUAGCACAUGCCGCUCUUGGCGUGCCACAGUUUCUUCAUUCCUGCCCAUAUAUCACUUCUCCUUCCCACCUCUCUUUGUCAACACAGAUCUUCAUAAUGCUCAUCGGCAUAUAGGGGACGACGAUACGUCGGACUACCCUUUAUCCAACACCCAAUGGCAACUUCAUGAUCCUGCGAAGACAAACUUAUCCCUUCGUCGUUCAGCACUCCGACAGACUCCAUAUCACGUGCGCUAUUUGGGCUGCUCAUAUGGGUAUUUUAUCUUCUACAGUUUUGAGCAAUGCUUCCUUGUUGAUGUGUACACUGGUACUAUCAUGAAGCCCCCGAAAUUCCGACACAGUGACAACUCUGAAAUCUACUACGGCAUCCUUACAGCUCCGCUAAGUUCGCCCAGCUCGUACCUCCUCCUUUUCUCAAGAAAUUCUAUGUUCCAGUGGCAACUUGGAGCAAACUCCUGGACAGAACACCCUCUUAUUGCUGAACGCCGCAUUCAUCAAAUUGUGCCCUUCAAAGGUAAGAUGUUUGCCAUGGACUCUCUUCAGAAGCUCAAUAUCAUUUCUUUGGCACCUCAGCUUGGCAUGUCGGAAAUACCAGUUGUAGUGUGCGGACAGGACAUGGUCAAACCAUGGUUGGUGGUCUGUGGUGACAUGCUUCUCAUGGUUGACCUCUGCAUACGUGUUCACGAAUUCUGCUUUCAAGCCUACCGCCUCGACUUAACAGAACCCGCUAAGUGGAUGAAGUUGGAUAAAUUGGAAAAUUGGGCUCUCUUUAUUAGCAUGGAUACCAGGAGUUCUACAUUUUCUUGCAAGAACCCUGAACGAUGGGGCGGGAAGAGUAACUGCAUUUACGUUCCGAGUGGGUCCAAAAAUUCCGACAAACCUUGGAUUGAGGUAGAGCUUGGUCAGUUCGUGCCUACAAGUUCCCACCCCAUUACAUAUAUUUUCGGAUGGAAAAGAAAGCAGUUGGAGAGCUUCUGGGUGCUCCCCAGUUUGGUGUAUGGUGUCAGCGAGUGA
rnacentral:rRNA from 1 species